rnacentral:rRNA from 1 species
GUAGGGAAUAUUGCGCAAUGGGGGAAACCCUGACGCAGCGACGCCGCGUGAGUGAUGAAGGCCUUCGGGUCGUAAAGCUCUGUUGCAGGGGAAUAAAAAAAUGAAGGUACCCUGUGAGGAAGGAUCGGCUAACUUCGUGCCAGCAGCCGCGGUAAGACGAGGGAUCCUAGCGUUGCUCGGAAUCAUUGGGCGUAAAGAGGGCGUAGGUGGCUUGGUAAGUCAGGUGUGAAAGCCCAGGGCUCAACCCUGGAAGUGCAUUUGAUACUGCUGAGCUUGAGUGUCGGAGAGGUUACCGGAAUACCUGGUGUAGUGGUGAAAUACGUAGAUAUCAGGUGGAACACCGGAGGCGAAGGCGGGUAACUGGACGAACACUGACACUGAGGCCCGAAAGCGUGGGGAUCAAACAGGAUUAGAUACCCUGGUAGCCC